GCAAACUUGGUCAUUUAGAGGAAGUAAAAGUCGUAACAAGGUUUCCGUAGGUGAACCUGCGGAAGGAUCAUUAACAAAUUGUCCACAAAAUGGAUAAUAAUAUCCAUAUCCACCUUGUGUGAACCAUUGACAAGUCUAUUGGUAGGUGCGCCACACAUUCAUUGUGUGGGGUGUGAAGUCGUUCAGUACGACUUGCAUUGACGGAGAAUUUUCUUCGGCCUGCCAAUUUUUAUUUAGUCUCUACGCGUCUAACGUUAAACAUUUGACUAAAAUUGAAUUUAAUAACAAAUACAACUUUCAACAACGGAUCUCUUGGCUCUCGCAUCGAUGAAGAACGCAGC
rnacentral:misc_RNA from 1 species